GCCCGCGCACCGGGAAUACGCUCUGGAAACGGAGAACAAAUCCCGAUGUACAGGAAGGAGGCAUCUUCUUUCUGUGAAACAUCCUUUAGGGGAUGGGGCGCGGAUGGACCUGCGGUGCAUUAGUUUGUUGGCGGGGUAAAGGCCCACCAAGACGAUGAUGCAUAGCCGGCCUGAGAGGGCGGACGGCCACAUUGGGACUGAGACACGGCCCAGACUCCUGCGGGAGGCAGCAGUAGGGAAUUUUCGUCAAUGGGCGCAAGCCUGAACGAGCGAUGCCGCGUGAGUGAAGAAGGCCUUCGGGUCGUAAAGCUCUGUUGCGGGGGAAAAAAGGCAGCAUCAGGAAAUGGGUGCUGACUGAUGGUGCCCCGCCAGAAAGUCACGGCUAACUACGUGCCAGCAGCCGCGGUAAUACGUAGGUGGCGAGCGUUAUCCGGAAUGAUUGGGCGUAAAGGGUGCGCAGGCGGUCCUGCAAGUCUGGAGUGAAACGCAUGAGCUCAACUCAUGCAUGGCUUUGGAAACUGGAGGACUGGAGAGCAGGAGAGGGCGGUGGAACUCCAUGUGUAGCGGUAAAAUGCGUAGAUAUAUGGAAG
rnacentral:rRNA from 1 species